GCCAGUUUGUGGGGGAACCGGUGUUGCCGGUUGAGAGUGUAUCCGUGAGAUACAGACCCUUCGAACCUGAUCUGGUUCAUACCAGCGUAGGGAACAUACUGGCCUGCAAU
rnacentral:ncRNA from 2 species